GUAGAAUAUUCACUAAAGUCCAAUGAAUCGCUCAAUAAAAAUUUGGAACCUGCCAAUCUCAAAGGCCGGUGUGAGCCCAAUACUGAGGAAUGGACACUUCUCUGACUUGGAUUUGAGGAACUGCAUUUCCUGCAAUUCUGUAGUGCACAAUUCAGUAGGCUGAGGAAUGGUCACUUCUCCGAUUUGGAUUGCUCCCUCCUAAAUUAUCUGCUGGGGAGCUUACAAAUGGUCUUUGGCACGAGACUGUCGACUCCGCAAGAUGCCAUGAUAUUGUUUUGCAUUGGCAAAUACAGGUUCCGCAACUGCAUCUGAUGGCAACGCCACUCCAGCUUGUUGAAUUCCCAUUAAUUGCAGAUGGACC